UACGUAGGUGGCAAGCGUUGUUCGGAAUUAUUGGGCGGUAAAGGGCGCGUAGGCGGUUUGUUAAGUCGGUUGUGAAAGCCCGGGGCUCAACCCCGGAGGGUCGACCGAUACUGGCAGGCUAGAGUACAGAAGAGGUAGCUGGAAUUUCCGGUGUAGCGGUGAAAUGCGUAGAUAUUAGGAAGAACACCAGUGGCGAAGGCGGCUCACUGGUCCGGUACUGACGCUGAGGUGCGAAAGCGUGGGGAGCGAACAGG
rnacentral:rRNA from 1 species